rnacentral:rRNA from 1 species
CAUGCAGUCGAACGGUGAAGCCAAGCUUGCUUGGUGGAUCAGUGGCGAACGGGUGAGUAACACGUGAGCAAUCUGCCCUUGACUCUGGGAUAAGCGCUGGAAACGGCGUCUAAUACCGGAUAUUAGCUGUGAAGGCAUCUUCAGCAGCUGGAAAGAAUUUCGGUCAAGGAUGAGCUCGCGGCCUAUCAGCUUGUUGGUGAGGUAAUGGCUCACCAAGGCGUCGACGGGUAGCCGGCCUGAGAGGGUGACCGGCCACACUGGGACUGAGACACGGCCCAGACUCCUACGGGAGGCAGCAGUGGGGAAUAUUGCACAAUGGGCGCAAGCCUGAUGCAGCAACGCCGCGUGAGGGACGACGGCCUUCGGGUUGUAAACCUCUUUUAGCAGGGAAGAAGCGAAAGUGACGGUACCUGCAGAAAAAGCACCGGCUAACUACGUGCCAGCAGCCGCGGUAAUACGUAGGGUGCAAGCGUUAUCCGGAAUUAUUGGGCGUAAAGAGCUCGUAGGCGGUUUGUCACGUCUGCUGUGAAAACUGGAGGCUCAACCUCCAGCCUGCAGUGGGUACGGGCAGACUAGAGUGCGGUAGGGGAGAUUGGAAUUCCUGGUGUAGCGGUGGAAUGCGCAGAUAUCAGGAGGAACACCGAUGGCGAAGGCAGAUCUCUGGGCCGUAACUGACGCUGAGGAGCGAAAGGGUGGGGAGCAAACAGGCUUAGAUACCCUGGUAGUCCACCCCGUAAACGUUGGGAACUAGUUGUGGGGUCCAUUCCACGGAUUCCGUGACGCAGCUAACGCAUUAAGUUCCCCGCCUGGGGAGUACGGCCGCAAGGCUAAAACUCAAAGGAAUUGACGGGGACCCGCACAAGCGGCGGAGCAUGCGGAUUAAUUCGAUGCAACGCGAAGAACCUUACCAAGGCUUGACAUAUACGAGAACGGGCUAGAAAUAGUCAACUCUUUGGACACUCGUAAACAGGUGGUGCAUGGUUGUCGUCAGCUCGUGUCGUGAGAUGUUGGGUUAAGUCCCGCAACGAGCGCAACCCUCGUUCUAUGUUGCCAGCACGUAAUGGUGGGAACUCAUGGGAUACUGCCGGGGUCAACUCGGAGGAAGGUGGGGAUGACGUCAAAUCAUCAUGCCCCUUAUGUCUUGGGCUUCACGCAUGCUACAAUGGCCGGUACAAAGGGCUGCAAUACCGUAAGGUGGAGCGAAUCCCAAAAAGCCGGUCCCAGUUCGGAUUGAGGUCUGCAACUCGACCUCAUGAAGUCGGAGUCGCU